UGGCAUUUAGAUUCCACCUGGCUACUCCAGCAUUGGCCUAGAGCAGAUUUGUGCAAGUCAAUAUGAAGGCGUAGGGCUCGACCUCUCGGGAGGUGAAGGGGAAAGGACAUAAACAUGUGUUAGUGCUGAAGAACAAGUUAUAUUAGGGCCACAUUCACCUAAACAAGAUUUUACACUUCCUUUUUCUACAUGAGGAAGGUGGGGUGUGGUACAAGCCGAGGUUUGUUUGAUGGUGAUUGUGUACACAUAUACAUCUCCACGUUAUUAGACUUUAGAUCGGAAAGUUAUCCUAUUUCUGAAUGUUCUUCUGUACCUCUUCCAAAAUUACCUUUAUUACCUUAAGGUAGCAUAUACUUAAACUUUUUUAUAACAGAAACCAUAAUGAAACUGGUCAUGAAAUUUUAGCAGUGAGUUAUAGGGAUAAUACAGAGCCUUUGAUGAAUUUUUCACAAUUUUUAGCGAAAGGAAACUUUUUCU
rnacentral:lncRNA from 1 species